GACGAACGCUGGCGGCGUGCUUAACACAUGCAAGUCGAACGAAGUGGCGAACGGGUGAGUAACGCGUAAUCAACCUGCCCUUCAGAGGGGGACAACAGUUGGAAACGACUGCUAAUACAGCAUACUGAAGGAAGGGAGUGCGUCUGAUUAGACAUUUGGAGGGGUAACGGCCCACCAAGGCGAUGAUCAGUAGCCGGUCGGAGAGGAUGAACGGCCACAUGGGGACGUGUACACUGCCCAGACUCCUACGGGAGGCAGCAGUGGGUAAUCUUCCGCAAUGGACGAAAGUCUGACGGAGCAACGCCGCGUGAGUGAUGACGGCCUUCGGGUGGUAAAGCUCUGUUAAUCGGGACGCGGUACCGGAAUAGAAAGCCACGGCUAACUACGUGCCAGCAGCCGCGGUAAUUC
rnacentral:rRNA from 1 species